UGCUUUCAAAACUUCUUCUUACUAUGUCAUCAAUGUACUCCUGAUCAUCAUCUAAUAACCCACGAGCAUAACAUGCAUCUUUGUAGCUCGGAUACAGAACACCUUGAUAUGUUUUAAUGUCAUCAUAACUGGUGGGUCCCUUGACAACAUUCAAUAAUACACGCAAGAAAUAAGCAGCUUCCUGGGUCCUAGGAGCAUAAUUAAUCCGGCCUAGAGCAAAUCCCCGCUUCCGUCUUUUGAACUUCUUUGACCUUUUAUCGUAAGUAAAGUAGUUUGGAAUCUGAGCAUAGGUUAAUGUUCUUGCAAGAUCAUCAAUUUUACACAACUCAAACCAAGCCAAGAACAUUGUAUUUUGAAU
rnacentral:lncRNA from 1 species